rnacentral:rRNA from 1 species
AACGAACGCUGGCGGCAUGCCUAACACAUGCAAGUCGAACGAGACCUUCGGGUCUAGUGGCGCACGGGUGCGUAACGCGUGGGAACCUGCCCUUAGGUUCGGAAUAACUCCCCGAAAGGGGUGCUAAUACCGGAUAAUGUCUUCGGACCAAAGAUUUAUCGCCUUUGGAUGGGCCCGCGUUGGAUUAGCUAGUUGGUAGGGUAAAAGCCUACCAAGGCGACGAUUCAUAGCUGGUCUGAGAGGAUGAUCAGCCACACUGGGACUGAGACACGGCCCAGACUCCUACGGAAGGCAGCAGUGGGGAUUAUGGGACAAUGGGCGAAGGCCUGAGCCAGCAAUGCCGCGUGAGUGAUGAAGGCCUUAGGGUUGUAAAGCUCUUUUACCCGGGAUGAUAAUGACGGUACCGGAAGAAUAAGCUCCGGCUAACUCCGU